CGCCGAGUCUGCCUUCGGGCAGGCGACACCCGCCUGUAGCUGGAAGGUUCCCCUCGGGUCUCCGGGGGCAACGAUCAGCUGCUGCACGCCCGGGGCGUGCAGUUCACAGAUCAAACGCGGGUGGCCUGCGCCCGCAGGUUGAGAUAUGACCGUAGCAGCUCCGCCAGGAGCCUGGCAUGCUAGUUCCGUAGGUGAACCUGCGGAAGGAUCAUUA
rnacentral:rRNA from 1 species